rnacentral:rRNA from 1 species
CAAUAUCGUAUAUUUAAGUUGCUGCAGUUAAAAAGCUCGUAGUUGGAUUUCGGGUGGGAAUGGCCGGUCCGCCGUUUCGGUGUGCACUUGCUACGCCCACCUUGCUGCCGGGGACGUGCUCUUGAGUUCACGCUCGGGACACGGAGUCGGCGAGGUUACUUUGAGUAAAUUAGAGUGUUCAAAGCAGGCCUACGCUCUGAAUACAUUAGCAUGGAAUAACACGAUAGGACUCUGGCCUAUCUUGUUGGUCUGUAGGACCGGAGUAAUGAUUAAGAGGGACAGUCGGGGGCAUUCGUAUUUCAUUGUCAGAGGUGAAAUUCUUGGAUUUAUGAAAGACGAACUACUGCGAAAGCAUUUGCCAAGGAUGUUUUCAUUAA